GACGAACGCUGGCGGCGUGCUUAACACAUGCAAGUCGUACGGUAAGGCCCUUUCGGGGGUACACGAGUGGCGAACGGGUGAGUAACACGUGAGUAACCUGCCCACAACUUUGGGAUAACGCUAGGAAACUGGUGCUAAUACUGGAUAUGUGCUCCUGCUGCAUGGUGGGGGUUGGAAAGCUCCGGCGGUUGUGGUUGGACUCGCGGCCUAUCAGCUUGUUGGUGGGGUAGUGGCCUACCAAGGCGGCGACGGGUAGCCGGCCUGAGAGGGUGACCGGCCACAUUGGGACUGAGAUACGGCCCAGACUCCUACGGGAGGCAGCAGUGGGGAAUAUUGCACAAUGGGCGCAAGCCUGAUGCAGCAACGCCGCGUGCGGGAUGACGGCCUUCGGGUUGUAAACCGCUUUCAGCAGGGACGAAGCUUUUUGUGACGGUACCUGCAGAAGAAGCACCGGCUAACUACGUG
rnacentral:rRNA from 1 species